rnacentral:lncRNA from 1 species
UAGGUGCACUCCAACAUGUGUGUGUGUACGUAAGUACACAUAGACACUGUAUUAGGUCUCAAUUAUUGGCAGCAUCUUAUUUAUCUCUGAGGUGGCAUCGUAGCAUUCAUAUGCAAAGCCUUGAAUUCUAGUCAAGGUGAUUAGUGUUCAGGUGUUGCCUAAUUCUUUUCUCCUCUGACUUCUCUCUUCCCUUUGGUCAGCCCAUUGCUAUAUCCGAAAU